GCUAGCGGGAGGAAUUUAGACAAGGUAACUGAAGAUCAUGAUUCUGCUAAUAAAACUUGCGACAAACAGGAAGAAUCUCAUGGAAAUGACAAAUUAGCUGAGGACACUGAGACAAUACUCCCCGAGCUCUCAGAGCGUCGAAAGGCUCUGUUUGAGCCCUUAGAACCCGUGAAAAACAUCAAUGGCCGGAGACCAUCAGCUGAAUCCUUACUCCCUCCUCCCGAUUUUGACGAGACUGCUUAUCCCCGAGGGUGGCUCAUCGGGAAGAAGCGGAAACUUGUCAAUGUGGACGUUGUCGAGAGCAUGCGGA
rnacentral:misc_RNA from 1 species